rnacentral:rRNA from 1 species
UACCCUUGAAUUUGGGAUAACACUUCGAAAGGGGUGCUAAUACCGGAUAACAUCAUGAACUCUUAGGGGUUUAUGAUCAAAGAAGGCCUCUCCAUGGAAGCUUCUGUUUGAGGAUGAGCCCGCGUACCAUUAGCUAGUUGGUGGGGUAAUGGCCUACCAAGGCAACGAUGGUUAGCUGGUCUGAGAGGAUGAUCAGCCACACUGGAACUGACACACGGUCCAGACUCCUACGGGAGGCAGCAGUGAGGAAUUUUGCGCAAUGGGGGAAACCCUGACGCAGCAACGCCGCGUGAGUGAUGAAGGCCUUCGGGUCGUAAAACUCUGUCAAGUGGGAAGAACCUACGUAAGGAUAAUACCCUUAUGUACUGACGGUACCACUGAAGGAAGCACCGGCUAACUCCGUGCCAGCAGCCGCGGUAAUACGGGGGGUGCAAGCGUUAUUCGGAAUUAUUGGGCGUAAAGGGCGCGCAGGCGGCCCUAUCAGUCAGAUGUGAAAGCCCUGGGCUUAACCCAGGAAGUGCAUUUGAUACUGUAGGGCUUGAGUAUGGGAGAGGGAAGUGGAAUUCCUGGUGUAGAGGUGAAAUUCGUAGAUAUCAGGAGGAACACCGGUGGCGAAGGCGACUUCCUGGACCAAUACUGACGCUGAGGCGCGAAGGCGUGGGGAGCAAACAGGAUUUGAUACCCUGGUAGUCCACGCAGUAAACGGUGAUCACUAGGUGUAGCGGGUAUUGACCCCUGCUGUGCCGCAGUUAACGCAUUAAGUGAUCCGCCUGGGGAGUACGAUCGCAAGAUUAAAACUCAAAGGAAUUGACGGGGGCCCGCACAAGCGGUGGAGCAUGUGGUUUAAUUCGACGCAACGCGAAGAACCUUACCUGGAUUUGACAUCUCGGGAAUCCCUUGGAAACUUGGGAGUGCCCUUCGGGGAACCUGAAGACAGGUGCUGCAUGGCUGUCGUCAGCUCGUGUCGUGAGAUGUUGGGUUAAGUCCCGCAACGAGCGCAACCCUUAUCUUUAGUUACCAGCAUUUCGGAUGGGGACUCUAGAGAUACUGCCCCGGUUAACGGGGAGGAAGGUGGGGAUGACGUCAAGUCCUCAUGGCCUAUAUCCAGGGCUACACACGUGCUACAAUGGGCGGUACAAAGAGUCGCGAGCCUGCGAAGGUUAGCUAAUCUCAUAAAGCCGUCCUAAGUUCGGAUUGGAGUCUGCAACUCGACUCCAUGAAGCUGGAAUCGCUAGUAAUCGUGGAUCAGCAUGCCACGGUGAAUACGUUCCCGGGCCUUGUACACACCGCCCGUCACACCAUGAGAGUUGAUUGUACCGGAAGUUGUCGGGCCAACCUUUCGAGGAGGCAGGCACCUAUGGUAUGAUUGAUGAUUGGGGUGAAGUC